rnacentral:rRNA from 1 species
UACGAAGGGGGCUAGCGUUGCUCGGAAUCACUGGGCGUAAAGGGUGCGUAGGCGGGUCUUUUAAGUCAGGGGUGAAAUCCUGGAGCUCAACUCCAGAACUGCCUUUGAUACUGAGGAUCUUGAGUUCGGGAGAGGUGAGUGGAACUGCGAGUGUAGAGGUGAAAUUCGUAGAUAUUCGCAAGAACACCAGUGGCGAAAGGCGGCUCACUGGCCCCGAUACUGACGCUGAGGCACGAAAGCGUGGGGGAGCAAAACAGGG